GACGAACGCUGGCGGCGUGCUUAACACAUGCAAGUCGAACGGAAAGGCUCCAGCUUGCUGGUGUACUCGAGUGGCGAACGGGUGAGUAACACGUGGGUAAUCCGCCCUGCACUUUGGGAUAAGCCUGGGAAACUGGGUCUAAUACUGGACAUGACCUUUCUCCCUAUGGGGUUUGGUGGAAAGUUUUUCGGUGUAGGAUGAGCCCGCGGCCUAUCAGCUUGUUGGUGGGGUGAUGGCCUACCACGGCGACGACGGGUAGCCGGCCUGAGAGGGUGAUCGGCCACAUUGGGACUGAGAUACGGCCCAGACUCCUACGGGAGGCAGCAGUGGGGAAUAUUGCACAAUGGGCGGAAGCCUGAUGCAGCGACGCCGCGUGAGGGAUGACGGCCUUCGGGUUGUAAACCUCUUUCAGCAGGGACGAAGCGUAAGUGACGGUACCUGCAGAAGAAGCACCGGCUAACUACGUG
rnacentral:rRNA from 1 species